AAGUACGUCCUAAUCCCUGCUGGCUAGCCAGUGGCCUGGAGGGCUCGCUUGUGAACCAGAGCGCCCUGGAACCCUCUUAGGAAGACCGAGCUUGCUUUGUCCUGGCCUGGGGGUGGGUUUCUGGACAUCG
rnacentral:snoRNA from 1 species